AACGCACGAGACCUGCGGACCUGCGGAAGGAUCAUUACAGAGAAAAUGCCCCUUUGGGGUAUAUCUCCUCAACCCUUUGUUUAUAAUACCUUUUGUUGCUUUGGCAGGCCCGUCUCUGGACCGCCGGCUGACUUUGCUGGUCAGUGCCUGCCAGAGGAUUUUAUAAAACUCUUUUGUACAUCUUAUUGUCUGAUUUAACUUACGCAAUUAUUAAAACUUUUAACAAUGGAUCUCUAGAUC
rnacentral:misc_RNA from 1 species